UGGGGGAGCAGCGGCCGCGCUUCCCGGGCGCGUGACUCAGCAGCCUCCACGCCGGGAUGGGCGCAGGGCGCGCGGCUUCCGGGCGCGGGGGUGGGGGCUCACUCUGCCGCCCCCGCUGGGAAGCGCCGAGGGGCGCGUGGGCGGGUAGAUCCCGCGCCGCCCGCCGCAGCUCGCCAGGCCGCCCACGCAGCCGCGAGCCCGGCUCGUUGGGUCCGCCCCCGCGGAGCCCAUGGGAUGCGCCGCCCGCGGAAGGGCUUCCCCAGGCUCCCGGCGAGUCGGGGGGAGGAGGGGGCUGCAUCCUUAGCGCUCCCCUCCAGCUGUUGACGCGCCAAUGUCCAGAGGGGGCCCCGUGGAAAUUCCUGGGGGACUGGAGCGGGAAGCCCCCGCAGAAUUCACCCCGCCCUCCCCGACCUGCGGGGCCUGGCCGCCCUACACCCGGCCCCAGGGUCUGUCUCCUUUGUUUUCUCGAAAUGGAGAGUGGGUUCUGAGCUCCCUUCCUAAGGCUCUUACCAUUUGGAGGUCACUUUGCCCGUCUAAGGAGAAUUUGCAUUUUAACAAGGGGGAUAACCUUGAAGUACCCAAAGGAAUCUCUACGUGUAGAAUUGCUGGCAUAGGCGAGAUAUUCUGGAAGGCAGCGAGACCCCUGUGGAAUGCCUGAAGGCCCCAUAACUCGCGAUAAGGAAAGAAAACCAUUAAACUGAAGGAAGGGCAAAUGGGCCAUUGAGGAAGGUAGGAAGGAAAACCACAUCUUCUUGGGACUUGCAUCAAAUGCUGCGAGAUCAUCCUGGAUCUUCUGCCUAAGGACCCGAAGUUCUGGUCAAAUCUAUCCUGUGUCCUGACCCAACUUGUCUAACUCUGCAGUAGAUGCGAGGAGAAAAUGAGUCUACAUCAAAUCUUCACAAGUAGCCCUAGACUAAGGCACGCCAAGGCUGCUGAAGGUGAUUCUUGGCUCUCCACCCUUCCCACCCCCUCCCCCAACUCCCUUAG